rnacentral:rRNA from 1 species
AUUGAACGCUGGCGGCAGGCCUAACACAUGCAAGUCGAACGAGGGGCGGACGGGUGAGUAAUGUCUGGGAAACUGCCUGCUGGAGGGGGAUAACUACUGGAAACGGUAGCUAAUACCGCAUACCAUCGGAUGUGCCCAGAUGGGAUUAGCUAGUAGGUGGGGUAAAGGCUCACCUAGGCGACGAGCCCUAGCUGGUCUGAGAGGAGGACCAGCCACACUGGAACUGGGACACGGUCCAGACUCCUACGUGAGGCAGCAGUGGUGAAUAUUGCACAAUGGGCGCGAGCCUGAUGCAGCCAUGCCGCGUGUAUGAAGAAGGCCUUCGGGUUGUAAAGUACUUUCAGCGGGGAGGCGUUACACGCAGAAGAAGCACCGGCUAACUCCGUGCCAGCAGCCGCGGUAAUUC